CGGCGAAAGCGCCUCGGUCGCUUACUUCCUUUUUCACCUCCGCCAUUUCGUCGUCGGUGAGCGCCCGCCCGGGAGCCGGGAACCCAGAGUCCGCCAUGGCAGAAACGCCACAGUGCGGUUUCGAAGGACGGGCGAGAGAAGGAAGUUGGAAGAAAGGGGAACCCUCAGCUGAACAACACGCCAAGGUUGACUGAAAACGGACUAACCAAAGUUUCCGGCGCCGAGAUGAUUGAAACCACUCCCCCACUCCCGCGAGGCCACGCCCAUUCUCUGAGUUUACCCUCAAAACCAUCAAGUCACAUCUGUCUCCACAGGCUGAACUGUAAAAAAUCACAGCUCCAGGAUUUUUUGGUGCUGUCAUAAUGAAAGAACAUGGAUCCGAAGUGUGAAUUGUCAUGCUUUUAACAAGAUCUGCCUGAGGCCACUGUCAAAAUACAAAUCACAUUUGUAUGCAUGAACUGAACUAUAAAAACCACAGAUUUUAAACUUCAUGGUGACCCCAUGCCACAAAUUCAUGGAUCCUCUGGAUUUUUACAGAAGACCACCCACCCACCCAAAAAAGCCCAUCAGGCACAGACCACAUGUGACCCCACUGAUUACACCAGAAAAACAGAUUCGGUGAUUCGCUGCACUGCCAUGGCACAGAAACAUGAAUCCAAGGCAUGUGGUGCCAUUCAAUGCUAGUCCUACUCAGAAGAGACCAACAGAUUAAUAGACAUGCCUAACAUAGAUUCAUUAAUUUCAGUGGAUCUGCUCUGAGUAGGAAUUGGUUGAGUACAACCCCUAGAUGAUUUUUGCACAGAUUCACCACUAACCACCAUAAAAUUAGAGCUCACAUUAAUAUCCAUGACUGGAGUGAAAAAAUAAGCAAUGCAGUGUUUUCUGACGCAGCUGUUAUGCAAAACAAUAGUUCAGGGCACAGAUCCUCAUGGAUCUAUGCAAUUUUAUAGAGGACCUCCCCCCAAACCACUGUCAUAUUGUAGAAAACAUUCCUGCCCAUAUACCAACUGAAUCAUAAAAACCACAGAUCCUGGACUUCACAGUGUUGCCACAGUGCAAAACAUGGAUCUUACUGAUUUUUCAGCAGAUUCCCCCCCCCCAAACUACAAUCAAAUCACAGAACAUAUCUGUACUGAGCCAUAAUAUUCAUGGAUCCCAGGCUUAAUGACAAUGGUGCAAAAACGUAUAUCAAAGGCACCGAAAAAAUGGAAAUGGACUGCCUUCAAGUCGAUUCCGACUUAUGUCGACCCUAUGAAUAGGGUUUUCAUGGUAAGUGGUAUUCAGAGAGGGUUUACCAUUGCCUUCCUCUGAGGCUAAGAGGCAGUGACUGGCCUAAGGUCACCCAGUGAGCUUCGUGGCUGUGUAGGGAUUCAAACCCUGGUCUCCCAGGUCAUAGUCCAACACCUUAACCACUAUACCACACUGGCUCUCAAAGGCACAGAAGCUCACAAAAUCCUCUGAUUUUUUUACAGAGGAUGCCAUGAAAAACAUUGUCAAGUCAUAGAUAAGGUUCAUGUCCAUGGAACAUUACAGCACCACCAUGAUGCAAAACAUGAAUCUGAGGCAUGGAUCUUCUGAGUUUUUACAUUGGAUCCCCCAAAACCAUGAUCAAAUCACAGUUCACUUCCACACCCAUGGACUGAAUGAACAAUAAAAAUAAUGGAUCCCAAACCUCACAGUGCCCAAAUGGUUCAAAAUAUGAAUAUAUGGUAUGGAUUCUCAUGGAACUUCUGGUUUUUGGGGGGAGGGGGAGGAUUCUCACCAAAAUCACCAAACACAUUUGUGUCCAUAGACUGCACAGUAAACAUCAUAGAUCCAGUGCUUCGCUGCAGCACCAUGACACAAAAUCACGGAUCCAAGCCAUUGAUGCUCAGGGAUCCUCUGGCUUUUUACAGGUAUGCCAUGAAAUACACUGUCAAGUCACGUCAUAUAUCAGACUCACACUCGAUUGCACCAUUCUGCUUGACUCUCCAUGAGAACUAUUUUGACAAGUGGGAGGGGCCUAUCAGUGAGUACCUAUGAGAAGAAUUGCCAAUCCUACAGUGAUGUAGACCUAUUCACAACUAUUGAAUAAUACAGGAGAAAGAGAAGCUGGAAUGAAACAGUACAUAAUUUGUAAUUUACAAAGAGAAUAAACCCUGCUUCAGUAUAUUUUGAGGCUAGUAGUACAUAUAAGGCUAAACAUCUGACGGAUUUGUCUGUUGCAACAAAAUACCUUAAAGACCACCUCUAAUAAAAGUAUUGUGGCAUAA